GAUGAACGCUGGCGGCGUGCCUAAUACAUGCAAGUCGAGCGAACGGACGAGAAGCUUGCUUCUCUGAUGUUAGCGGCGGACGGGUGAGUAACACGUGUAUAACCUACCUAUAAGACUGGGAUAACUUCGGGAAACCGGAGCUAAUACCGGAUAAUAUUUUGAACCGCAUGGUUCAAAAGUGAAAGACGGUCUUGCUGUCACUUAUCGAUGGAUCCGCGCUGCAUUAGCUAGUUGGUAAGGUAACGGCUUACCAAGGCAACGAUGCAUAGCCGACCUGAGAGAGUGAUCGGCCACACUGGAAGUGAGACACGGUCCAGACUCCUAAGGGAGGCAGCAGUAGGGAAUCUUCGGCAAUGGGCGAAAGCCUGACGGAGCAACGCCGCGUGAGUGAUGAAGGUCUUCGGAUCGUAAAACUCUGUUAUUAGGGAAGAACAUAUGUGUAAGUAACUGUGCACAUCUUGACGGUACCUAAUCAGAAAGCCACGGCUAACUACGUG
rnacentral:rRNA from 1 species